rnacentral:lncRNA from 1 species
UUGUUGAUCGAUUUCGCAAUCAAUGAAUACGUGCAAGUAUACACGGUCAACAAGUAAUAAAGUGAAAGUAGAGUAUCGUUCCCACAAGGAAUUAUUUAAUAAAAAUUACCAAGUAGUAACUCUUAACCAAAUCAAUUUUAUUUAAACAACCAAUAAUUGUGAUUUUUCUAGUUAAGAAAACUAAAUUAAACAAUUAAAAGAGAUUAGUCUAAAGAAAGCAAAUAAACAAAACAAAGAUUUGAUUGAAUUCAGGUAAAUAAGGAUUAAGACUCCAAUAUCCCCAAUUAUGAACUAUAAAUCAAUUAUCCAAUUAUCCCAAUUAUUAUGUCUACUGAAUUGUUAACAGGAACUCUCAAAUGCCAAAAGCCCUUUUCCAAGUGAUCAAUUGCCUUCUAUUUAAUCCAGAUUAAUUUUGCUAUAUUCCUAUGCAAAACAAUUGAAUUAAACUCGUUACAAUCCCAAUUCCUUAUGUGUUACAUGCGGCGAAAAGAUAUUUCCAUUCUAUUCACAAACCUAAUUAUUCACUGUGCAAAUAACUAAGUCACAUGAUAUCAUGCCCAGUUCUAACCCUAGAAUUCCUCUUCCAAUUCCUUCUAGAGUAACAAAGUAAUUACUGAUCAAAUAAUUAAGCAAUAAGCACAAGACAAGAUAAACAACUCACUUUAACAUAAAUAAUUAGAAUAUAAUGAAUAACUAAUUCAUAGCCAUAAAAAGUUCAAUUGAAAUCUCAAAAAUAGUUAGUUCAUAAUUAAUGAAUUAAAACCAAGAAUCCACAACUGAAUAGACAUCAAAAGAUAAAAGUAAGAUGAGAGAAGAGAAUAGAAUCUGUUGUCAGCAAAUCUGAUGCUCCCCUCUUGCUCUUGCUCUUGAUCUUCAAUGGUCUCCAAGUUGCUUCAAUC